GAUGAUGAUAAGUUGCCAAUUCCAAAUGAAGAAUUUAAUCCUGUGAAUAAGUCUACCAUUUUGAAUUCUUCAGAAGAGAUUAAACAUAUCAACAUUGAUGAAAUAAUGACAAAGUUGAACAAAACAGGUCAUGUUCCUAUUAAUCCACCAGAUGAAACAGAGAAAAAUUCUGCCUUGACUGCUCGAAACAAUCAAGUUUUUCAUGAUCAACCGUCUUUUAAAAUCUGGG